rnacentral:rRNA from 1 species
UGAACAAGGAUGAGCUCAGAAUGAAAAUCGGGGCCUAUGGCUUUGAAUUGUAGUCUUGAGAUGUGUUGCCAGCGGAGGCGCAUAUGUAAGCCUCUUGGAAAAGAGCACCAACGAGGGUGAUAGUCCCGUUUGUCAUCUGCAGCCCCCCGUGUACGGCGCAUAUUCUAAGAGUCGCGUUCCUCGGGAUUGGAGCGUAAAUGGGUGGUAAAUUUCAUCUGAAGCUAAAUAUUGGUUCGAGACCGAUAGCAAACAAGUCCCAUGAGGGAAAGGUGAAAAGGACUUUGAAAAGAGAGUUAAAAGUGCCUGAAAUUGCUGAGAGGGAAGCGAAUGGAACCAGCUUUGCUUGGCGAGAUUGUUGCAUGCUACAGCUAUGGCUUGCUAUGGCAACGUAAGUGCCCUAGCUUGCCACCAACUUGAUGCAUGCGGUGGUUCUUGCUCUGUGUGUCAGCUUUGACGCAGACUUGAUGAAAACUGUAGGGUCAAGGUAGCUCGUCUCCGGGUGAGUGAAUGUCCCUGCAAGAAAUCACGUGUGCGCUUGACAUGGCGUGCCUCAUUUGGUAAGCCACAAGAUUGAUGACAAAAUGGUUCCACACGACCCGUCUUGAAACACGGACCAAGGAGUCUAGCGUAUGUGCAAGUUCACGGGUGUCAAACCUGUUUGCGUAAUGAAAGUGACUGCUGGGAUUUCUGCACCAGCAACCGACCAAUCAAUUGAGAGAGGUUUGAGUAUGAGCAUAUCUGUUAGGACCCGAAAGAUGGUGAACUAUGCCUGAGAAGGGCAAACUCAGGGGAAACUCUGAUGGAGGCUCGUAGCGAUACUGACGUGCAAAUCGUUCGUCAUACUUGGGUAUAGGGGCGAAAGACUAAUCGAACCAUCUAGUAGCUGGUUCCCUCCGAAGUUUCCCUCAGGAUAGCUGGAGUUGAACAGUUUUAUCAGGUAAAGCGAAUGAUUAGAGGAAUCGGGGGCUCGUUGUCCUCGACCUAUUCUCAAACUUUAAAUGGGUAAGAUCUAGUGGUUACUUUGUUGAACUUCUGGGAUAAAUGACAACUCUAAGUGGGCCAUUUUUGGUAAGCAGAACUGGCGAUGAGGGAUGAACCUAACGCUGGGUUAAAGUGCUUAACUGCUCGCUCAUCAGAUACCACAAAGGGUGUUGGUUCAUUUUAACAGCA